rnacentral:rRNA from 1 species
GGACCCGCACAAGCGGUGGAGCAUGUGGUUUAAUUCGAUGAUACGCGAGGAACCUUACCAGGGCUUAAAUGUAGUGGGACAGGUCUAGAGAUAGACCCUUCUUCGGACUCAUUACAAGGUGCUGCAUGGUUGUCGUCAGCUCGUGUCGUGAGAUGUUGGGUUAAGUCCCGCAACGAGCGCAACCCACGUCGUUAGUUGCCAGCAUUUAGUUGGGCACUCUAGCGAGACCGCCGGUGAUAAACCGGAGGAAGGUGUGGAUGACGUCAAGUCAUCAUGCCCCUUACAUCCUGGGCUACACACGUACUACAAUGCUACGGACAAAGGGCAGCAAACUCGCGAGAGCUAGCAAAUCCCAUAAACCGUGGCUCAGUUCAGAUCGUAGGCUGCAACUCGCCUACGUGAAGGAGGAAUC